CAGAACGCACCAAGAGUAAUCUCUGCAUUUGCCAGGGCAAUAGACAGGAAGGGACUAGGGCAGAAAACCUGGGGAAGUGUCAGGGCAGCAGCCAGGGGUGGCUGGAGGUGGAACUAGAGCCUGAGAAAAUGGUAUGUGGUUGGCAUGUGGGCCCUGUGCUGAACGCAACUCCACCUUCUUUCGUUGAGAGGCUGAACAGGAAGUGUCAGAGCUCGGUCCUGCUAGGGUAAGGUGGGCCUGGCAGCCUGUAGAGGGAGUAAUGGCAUAAUGACACUUCAGGCUCAUGACUUUGUUAGGAGUCAACUACCCAACCUGAGAAGCUCAGCCCUGGAGACCUAUGCAGAGCUAGGGGAUGCCUAGGUUUCUAACUACCAUGAGAUUCAGGCUUCUCUGCUGUGUGGCCCUUUAUCUCUUGCGAUCAGGCCUGGCUGCUUCUGAAGUCACUCAAAUGCCCAAACACCUGAUCAAAGCACGAGGACAACAAGGGACACUGAGAUGUUCCCCUGUGUCUGGACACACUUCUGUGUACUGGUACCAACAGGUUUCAGACCAGGGCCCCCAGUUCCUCAUUCAAUAUUACAACGAAGAGGAAGGAGAAAAAGGGAACAUCCCGGAUCGAUUCUCAGCACGGCAGUUCAGCAACUACAGCUCGGAGCUGAACCUGAGCUCCUUGACUGUAGGAGACUCAGCCUUGUACCUCUGUGCCAGCAGCUUGGCACAGCCCUGCUUGGUCGUCAGCCUGCUGUGCAAAAACGAUCCUGCCCCACUCAGGAAGUGGCCCUGA